AUUGAACGCUGGCGGCAGGCUUAACACAUGCAAGUCGAGCGGAGAUGAGGUGCUUGCACCUUAUCUUAGCGGCGGACGGGUGAGUAAUGCUUAGGAAUCUGCCUAUUAGUGGGGGACAACAUUCCGAAAGGAAUGCUAAUACCGCAUACGUCCUACGGGAGAAAGCAGGGGAUCUUCGGACCUUGCGCUAAUAGAUGAGCCUAAGUCGGAUUAGCUAGUUGGUGGGGUAGAGGCCUACCAAGGCGACGAUCUGUAGCGGGUCUGAGAGGAUGAUCCGCCACACUGGGACUGAGACACGGCCCAGACUCCUACGGGAGGCAGCAGUGGGGAAUAUUGGACAAUGGGGGGAACCCUGAUCCAGUCAUGCCGCGUGUGUGAAGAAGGCCUUAUGGUUGUAAAGCACUUUAAGCGAGGAGGAGGCUACUGAGACUAAUACUCUUGGAUAGUGGACGUUACUCGCAGAAUAAGCACCGGCUAACUCUGUGCCAGCCGCCGCAGUAACAC
rnacentral:rRNA from 1 species